rnacentral:lncRNA from 1 species
AAUUGCAUGACUCAAUCCAAGGCUAUCAGGCCAAAAUCACUAGAUCUAAUUUAUGCCGAGUCUGUUUACGAAGUUUCCACCAGAUUUGGCUGGAGUGCCAACCAUGCAUGCCCAAAAUUUGUAGAAAACAACCUUAAAUUACAUCAGAAGACCACGAUCAAGUAAGCAAACCAGAAUUAAUUACAACCCUUCUAAACUGACACAAAACCAUGAACCAUCAACAUUUGUCCGAAUACCCAUCAGACCUGAACCAAUGAUUUUUAGGGGCAACAGUUCACAUAAAGGGUGUUUCUACUAUAAGACCUUCUCUCUUCAG